rnacentral:rRNA from 1 species
AACGAACGCUGGCGGCAGGCUUAAUACAUGCAAGUCGAACGGGCGCAGCAAUGCGUCAGUGGCAGACGGGUGAGUAACACGUGGGAACCUUCCUCGUUGUACGGAACAACUCAGGGAAACUUGAGCUAAUACCGUAUAAGUCCGAGAGGAGAAAGAUUUAUCGCAAUGAGACGGGCCCGCGUCGGAUAGGUAGUUGGUGAGGUAACGGCUCACCAAGCCAACGAUCCGUAGCNGAUCUGAGAGGAUGAUCAGCCACACUGGGACGUGAGACACGGCCCACGACUCCUACGGGAGGGCAGCAGUAGGGAAUCUUGGACAAUGGGCGCAAGCCUCGAUCCAGCCAUGCCGCGUGAGU